ensembl:lncRNA
GGGGCGGGGGGCCGGGGGCCGGCGGGGGCGGGGGACCGGGGGCCGGCGGGGCGGGCUCCCUCUACAGCGACGUCAGCACCGGCCUGACGUGGCGAUCUGGCACGGCCAGCUCGGUGUCUUAUCCAAAGCAGAUGCCAUUGUCCCAGGUCUGAGCGGAGGGGAGGGUGCGCCUGCGAGGAGGACACUCGAAGGCAGAGGUUUCCACCCCUUCACCGUGUUGAUUGCUAUUAGCAUCAUAAUGAACUCUUAAUGGUAUCCAUUAGCUGGGACUCACUUAGAACAAAGUACCUGGCAUUGAAGGCUCCCAGACCCACCCCCCUUUCCUCUACCGACGGGCGAGGAGUUUCUCCCGCCAGGCGUUCAUUUCUGUUGGCAGGGCAGAGGAGGGUGAGCCCCGCGGCUGCGUUUCCGAGACCCAAGGUUUGGAGCCCUCGCUGGUUGCCAUUUGCUGAGCUUGAAGCCAGACCUACAGAUUUCACCUGAGGGACCUAAGUUUUCUCCCUCGACUCUGCUACGUAAACUCUUACUCCUAACACGUCCUAGAUCUAGGCGGGAUGAGCGCGACCUAACGGGAUCGCACGGUUUGGGUAUUCUUAAUGACCAGGCAAAUGCCUUAAGUAAACAAACAAGAAAUGUCUUAAUUAUACACCCCAAGUAAAUACGGGUUUCUUACAUUAGAGGAUGUAUUUAUAAAUAUAAUUAUUUGUUAAAUUGUAAAAAUGUGUAAAAUAUGUACAUACCCAAAGAUAUACAGUCUGUACAUUUUCUGUAAAAAGUUUAGAGGCCACCCCUGUAAGAACAAAUAUAAGUAUUCUAUUUUGUCAAUAAAAUGACUUUUGAUAAAUGACUUAACCGUCGCCCUCUCCCCCUGCCUCUCCUAGACUGUUACCUUGAACGUGCUUGUGGAGGGCCCCUCCGGAACAGGGACGUUUUCUGGUUUCUCAUUAUGUACACUGACCUUAGGCAUGAAGAAAAAUGACCUGUUAAACUCGAGUUCCUAAGUUGUUAGCAGAGUAAAUAUCACUGUUAAACUGAAAUCAAAAUUGAGGUUUUUGCACCUUUCCGAAAAGAUGGUGUUUUUAAUGAUAGCUGUUUUCUGAUCCAUGGAUACCACUCACCUUAGUCGAUGUAAAUGGAACUUUUGCAAGGCACAAUUCCACUCUGGCCUUGUUAUUUAUCUUGUAUAAUAUCACUAAAGGCUUCAAACCCCACACUCAUUUCUCGAGUCGUCCGUGAUUUUGAAAGCACCUGCUCCUCCAGGACCUAACACACUGCUGAAGGGUAGAGGUUAAUGUUUUCAGCCAUCGAUCACACUGUACAGUGUAAGUCACUCGACAAUCCGGUGGUGGAACAGGCGCUCUUUAAUGGAUUAAACUAACGGGUUAACAUCUUAAUAACCUUCCAGGCUUGUGUAUAUCAAAUGUGCUUCUUUUCCUAGAGAAAAAAGCUAUUGUUCCUCUGUCAAGACUAAGCUAAUUUAUUUGAGCAGAAGG